rnacentral:lncRNA from 1 species
AGACCCUGUUCUACUUCAGUAGCCAGCUAGCUCUGCAGACCCUGUUCUACUUCAGUAGCCAGCUAGCUCUGCAGACCCUGUUCUACUUCAGUAGCCAGCUAGCUCUGCAGACCCUGUUCUACUUCAGUAGCCAGCUAGCUCUGCAGACCCUGUUCUACUUCAGUAGCCAGCUAGCUCUGCAGACCCUGUUCUACUUCAGUAGCCAGCUAGCUCUGCAGACCCUGUUCUACUGCUACUUCAGAAGUGAAAUACAAUGUAUCAAGUGUAUGAGUCUGUCCUCAUUGCACGUCUGUUAUUUGAUGUCGCACCUCAAAUGAUGAGCUGGUGGACUGAGACCAGAUGGGGGGUGUAAUAGGUGGUGACAUGACAGUGUGUUAUCAGAGGACUGAGACCAGAUGGGGGGUGUAAUAGGUGGUGACAUGACAGUGUGUUAUCAGAGGACUGAGACCAGAUGGGGGGUGUAAUAGGUGGUGAUAUGACAGUGUGUUAUCAGAGGCCUGAGACCAGAUGGGGGGUGAAAUAGGUGGUGACAUGACAGUGUGUUAUCAGAGGACUGAGACCAGAUGGGGGGUGUAAUAGGUGGUGACAUGAGGGUGGGUAUAAUUUGUGUGUUAUAAGUUUUUCAUUCAGAAUGAGAUACCGGGUAGAGAGUGAACAAUGUAAUAACGUUUUUCAACCACCACGUUUAUUCUGAAAAAUGUCUCUCUUCGUUCUGGUAGCCUCCACCAUUCCUCGUUCGUUGGUUUAGUUAUUAUUUCCGGGGUUCCUGCAUUCGCCAGGUGAACUCUGUUGCGCC